GUGAAAUUUCCAGUAUAAUAUAUAGGCUAUAAUCAUAGAUAGUAGAGGGGAGGGAUUGGAAACAUCUCAGGUGACCAAUGUAUUGCCCUAGAGAAUUCUGACACUAUGCGUGUUGCAUUCCGCAAGUGUUGAUUGCGAUUGAUUGCGAGCCAGCUGCAAAGACAGAGGAGAAGAAACUGAAGAAAACUGCAGGUACUCAGAACAUCUGAGGAUCUGCCAAGACCCUUUGGAAAAGUUUGGCAUGCCAAUGACAGAGGGAAGGGACACUGUUAUUUGUUACGAUUGGUCGUGCAAAAGCUGUGUAGUGACCUGUGAUGACGGAAAUACACCACUACCUAAACGUCGUCAGACUUACACAAAUUAUGUUUUGUGUUUGUAAACAUCAUCAUUUCUCCAUGCAUCCUUUGUGAUUGUGUGUAUCAUAAUGUUAAGAAAUAAGUAUGCAGUCUAUGA